CCUACGGGUGGCAGCAGUGGGGAAUAUUGGGCAAUGGAGGCAACUCUGACCCAGCAACGCCGCGUGAAUGAUGAAGGUCUUCGGAUUGUAAAGUUCUUUUCUAAGGGAAGCAGAGAGUGACGGUACCUUAGGAAUAAGCCUCGGCUAACUACGUGCCAGCAGCCGCGGUAAUACGAAGGAGGCAAGCGUUAUCCGGAAUGACUGGGCGUAAAGGGUGCGUAGGUGGUUUGGCAAGUUAGUAGCGCAAAUCCGUAGCCCAAAUUCCGAACUACUACUAACACUGGUGGACUUGAGUGCAGGAGGGGCAAUCGGAAUGCGUAGUGUAGCGGUGGAAUGCGUAGAUAUUAGGAGGAACACCAGUGGCGAAGGCGGAUUGCUGGACUGUAACUGACACUGAGGCACGAAAGCGUGGGGAGCAAACAGGAUUAGAUACCCCAGUAGUC
rnacentral:rRNA from 1 species